rnacentral:lncRNA from 1 species
GGGUUUCAUCGUGUUAGCCAGGAUUGUCUCGAUCUCCUGACCUCGUGAUCCACCUGCCUCGGCCUCCCAAAGUGCUGGGAUUACAGGCGUGAGCCACCGCGCCCGGCCAAAGCCUACGUAAAAGCUAAGGUAUGUCUACCUGCGGGUGGGCUGACACUGUAACAAAACUUAUUACUUUGUUGAUUUAAAGCUAUCCUUGGCCAGGCGCAAUGGCUUACGCCUGUAUUGACAGCGCUUUGGAAGGCCGAGGCAGGUGGAUCACCGGAGGUCAGGAGUCCGAGACCAGCCUGCUAUCUUAAAAGCAUACAUUGUCAUGGGAUAUUGGGUCAUCUGGACAUUGUGUUUCUGUAGAAAUUUGUCCUUGCAGGUAUCAAUAAGCUGCUUUCCUUAACCAUAAACAUCUUAUGACGGUGACUCGUGCAUGAGCUGUAAGGAAUAUGUCUUGCUAGUUUUAAUGGACUUGAACUUUGUCACCCUAGCUCUCCUAGGUUCCUGCUUAACAGUUUAUCCAUUCAUGCAACAUAGUCCUAAGCACAAUUAUGGAGACACCAGUCUCUCGUAAUGUAUCUGACAGACUGAGCUUCUGCCCCAAGAACAUAGUAAUAGCAAUACUAAGUGAAAUAUUAGGAAGUUUUAUGUAUGUAUAUAAUUGAUCAUUUAUUAUUUGCAGUUUAAGUUGGCUAAAAUUACAUAGAAUGGGUUAUUUUAAUCAAAUACUAGAAAUAUAUAUCAUUCGCAAAUGGAAUCUAAUCACACAAAGUUGAAGAGCAUUUCCCUAUGUUGAAUAAAUAUGAAGGAGUUCAGAUUUUGGAACUGAUUUCGUGCUUUCCAUGACACCUAGCUUUUUUCUUAUUCUCUCAAUUUCUUCUGCGUUCAUGAGCUUGUGAACUAAAAGUAUCUACUAGGUCUCAGUCAAUUUAGAAAUCUAUUUUGCCAAGGUUAAAAAUGCCCCCGUGACACAGCCUCAGGAGGUCCUGACAAUGUGUGCCCAAGGUGUUCAGGCUGCAGUUUGGUUUUACACAUUUUGCAGAGACAUAAUACAUCAAUCAAUACAUGUAAGAUAUGCAUUGGUUCAGUCUGGAAAGGUGGAAUAACUGGAAUUGGGGGGCUUCCGGGUCACAGGUAGAUAACAAAUGAUCACAUUCUUUGAGUCUUUGAUCAACCUUUCACUAAAUACACAAUUUAUAUGUGAGAGCGGGAGGAGGAAUAGUCACUUAUGCCUUCGACUGCCUCAGUGACCCUGCGUUUUUAUGUAAACAAUAGGGCAGGGGAAGCAAUCAGAUAGGCAUUUGUCUCAGGUGUGCAGAGGGAUUGGUUCUGUCCCACACCUGUGCAGAUAAGCUCUCGGUUUACAUUGCCAGGGGGAAAUUCAAAAUAACUAUUUUAGGGUGGAGAUCUUGAGGUCCCCAGUUUGUGAGGGGAGUAUAUAGCUUUUUUUCUUUUCUUAGGGGAGUAUAUAUCUUUUUUUCUUUUCUUUUCUUUUCUUUUUGAGACAGAUUUUCACUGUUAUUGCCCAGGCUGGAGGGCAAUGGCGCAAUCUCGGCUCACCACAACCUCCUCCUCCUGGGUUCAAGUGAUUCUCCUUUCUGUGGGGAAAAGAGAGAGAGAUCAGAUUGUUACUGUGUCUAUGCAGAAAAGGAAGACAUAAGAAACUCCACUUUGAUCUGUACUAAGAAAAAUUGUUCUGCUUCGAGAUGCUGUUAAUCUGUAACUAUAGCCUCAACCCUGUGCUCACAGAAACAUGUGUUGUAUUGAAUCAAGGUUUAAUGGAUUUAGGGCUGUGCAGGGUGUGCCUUGUUAAUAUGUUUGCAGGCAGUAUGCUUGGUAAAAGUUAUCGCUGUUCUCCAUUCUCUGUUAACCAGGGACACAAUGCACUGCGGAAAGCCGCAGGGACCUCUGCCCUAGAAAGCCUGGGUAUUGUCCAAGUUUCCCCCAACUGAGACAGCCUGAGAUAUGGCCUCAUGGGAAAGGAAAGGCCUUACCAUCCCCCAGCCUGACACCUGUAAAGGGUCUGUGCUGAGGAGGAGUAGUGAAAGAGGGAGGCCUCUUUGCAGUUGAGAUAAGAGGAAGACUUCUGUCUCCUGCUCAUCCCUGGGAAUGGAAUGUCUCAGUGUAAAGCCGACCAUU